GUAACAAGGUUUCCGUAGGUGAACCUGCGGAAGGAUCAUUAACGCGCAGGCCGCAGACGACCCUCCCCCGGAAGCUUCCGGGGGUGGUGGCGCCGGCCACACGCCCAUUCUUGUCUAUCUACCUGGUUGCCUCGGCGGGCCGCGCCCUCGAGCCGUUCGGGGGGACACCCCUGGACCGCGCCCGCCGGAGGAGUGAUUAAAAUCCAUGAAUACUGUUCAGUCUGAGCGUUAGCAAGUAAAAUCAGUUAAAACUUUCAACAACGGAUCUCUUGGUUCCGGCAUCGAUGAAGAACGCAGCGAAAUGCGAUAAGUAAUGUGAAUUGCAGAAUUCCGUGAAUCAUCGAAUCUUUGAACGCACAUUGCGCCCUCUGGUAUUCCGGGGGGCAUGCCUGUUCGAGCGUCAUUUCAACCCCUCAAGCCCGGCUUGUGUGAUGGACGAACGUCCGGCCCUCCCCGCUCUCGGGGAGGGCGGACGCGCCCGAAAAGCAGUGGCCAGGCCGCGAUUCCGGCUCCUGGGCGAAUGGGCAACAAACCAGCGCCCCUAGGACCGGCCGGCUCUCUGGCCUAGUUCUUUUUUGUUUUUAACAAUCAGGUUGACCUCGGAUCAGGUAGGGAUACCCGCUGAACUUAAGCAUAUC
rnacentral:misc_RNA from 1 species